rnacentral:rRNA from 1 species
CGGGGCUUAAUGUCUUGUAAUUGGAAUGAUGGGAAUUUAAACCUCUUCCAGAGUAUCAAUUGGAGGGCAAGUCUGGUGCCAGCAGCCGCGGUAAUUCCAGCUCCAAUAGCGUAUAUUAAAAUUGUUGCAGUUAAAAAGCUCGUAGUUGAAUUUCUGCUGCAUUACAUAUCUCUUGUUUGAGUUUGUUUUUGUGGCUUAUUUCGGUUUGAUUUUUUCUUUCCGGAUGAUUACUUUGAGAAAAUUAGAGUGCUCAAAGCAGGCUUUCGCCUUGAAUAGUUUAGCAUGGAAUAAUAAAGUAGGACUUUGGUUCUAUUUUGUUGGUUUUAGGUACCAAAGUAAUGGUUAAUAGGAACAGUUGGGGGCAUUCGUAUUUAACUGUCAGAGGUGAAAUUCUUAGAUUUGUUAAAGACGAACUACUGCGAAAGCAUUUGCCAAGGAUGUUUUCAUUAAUCAAGAAC